UAAAAAUAAAUAAGUUAUUCAGCCGAUAAAUGUAAGCACAAAUAUCUAUACAAUAAUCAUAGUCAAUUAAAAAUACCUAUGUUCUUAACGAUCCUUCAGCUGCAACAAAUAAGCAAAUCCGUGCGUCACUGGAUUGGGAGUCCUUUUGUCGCUGGAUGAGGAGUUCCUAUGUUGUAAAGAACACUCGAAAAAAAAAAUAAAACAAAAACAAAAACAUUCCAAACGUCUAUUACCCGGGAGUUCGAACGUCGAUUGCCUGGGAGUCCACUCGUCGUUUAACUGGAAGUCUUUUCGUCCUUGAGUACUGGUCGAGUAUUCUGAUAAUUGGGUUCAGCAACAUUUUGUUGUUGUGUCCAAAUGUCGGGAACUACUAGUCCUGAAGUCGAUGGGCAGAUGUCCUGGCGUCGUGUGCCAGAUGUCCAAGUGUCGGAAACCUGCAACCAAAAGUCGUUUACCCUGGAGUCCUUUUGGUAACUCGCCCAAAAGAGUGCAUGCCCUAUUUGUAAACUCAGCUAACUGUUACAGUUUUGUGAUACAUCCAUUUGACACCUGCAAAGUGUCAUCAUCAUUUCAGCAUCCAAUUUGGCUCAUCUCCAGUUAGCCAGCCAUUGGUUAAUUACAUCACCCAAGUUUGGUUAUGAUAGGAAAAUGUUCAUCUAUGUAUUGCUGUGAAAUUGCCGUUCCUACACUUUUUCCUGUCUUUACCAUCCAUAGACUUAAUAUUAUUUUAAAUUCUUGAUCCCUACGCUUUUCCAUCUUCGUCUGUGCCCAGUCUUCGGUUAAUCAUCGCUUCGCCAGGUCUUCGCAUCGUUUCCGUUUCGUUGCCAGUUUCCCCAUCGUCUCAUCGCCGUCUUUGUCUUCACCAUCGUCUUAUCUCCGUCCUCGCCUUCGCCAUCGUCUCAUCGCCGCCCUCGCCUUCGCCAUCGUCUCAUCGCCGCCCUCGCCUUCGCCAUCGUCUCAUCGCCGCCCUCGCCUUCGCCAUCGUCUCAUCGCCGCCCUCGCCUUCGCCAUCGUCUUAUCGCCGCCUUCGCCUUCACCAUCAUCUCAUCACCUCUUUGCCUUCGCCGUAUCUCCGUCCUUAACGAUGGAACAAUCAAAUCCAGAAAAAACAACUCAUGGCGAUCGAGCGUGACCUCACCGUGGAACUUCUCGGGUAUUGUUUUGUUUUGUUUUGUAUUGUUGUAUUGUGUAAUGUGUUUUGUAUAUUGUAUAGUUAACCCGUUGGCUGCCACCCCGUUUGCUCCCAUUUUUUUUAGCUGUAGGGACCGAGCGCACUGCUCUGCCCCAUCAUGGCCAUGGGGUAGGGCAGUGCUCCGCCGGAAGGCGGUUAGGCAAUGCACCAGUAGGGAAUUCUCUUUGUUCGAUGCGGUGAUGGUUUCCUGAGGGUGUGCAUUCCCUGUAAAGGUUUCUAUAGCCGUGUCAGCCCGGACUUCUCUUCGGACAAGUCCCCCUUCGUCGGCGAUCCUUCUGACGCGAGACAUAGCUACUGUAGUUAAAGCAACCUACGGGUUGCAUGGCCUGGUAGCCAACGGGUUAACUAGUUUGUUGUAUGUGUAUGUAUGUAUUUAUAUUUUUAAUUAUACAUGUAUUGUGUUUUAUGUAAAAUAGUGGUGGAAUUGUGGGUGGAGGGACAAUAAGACAAUCGUUUCUUUAACUCUUCUAUUUUUUAUUUAUUUGAUACGCUUUACAAGUUUUGAAGACCUAUAUAAAUUACUCGCAUCAACAGAUUCAGAAUAUUCCGUUGAAGUUUGGGUGCGUUUUAAAAAUGAUUUAUUUAAUCCCCUUUUCCCUUGAAUAUCUAAUUUUAACAUGAAAUCGUGAAGCACUGGUGCGUAUUCUGACUACAUAAAGAAUCGCGGGAAAGUUCUUGGUGUUAUUUACAAAUUGUAUUUCUAAGGAUACGUUUUUGUUUGUUUGUGUUUUGUUGUGUUCAUAAGAAGAAAAAAAAAGGUAUUUAUAAAUUUUGGUUAUUAAUACACACACAGUCUAUAAUUUAAAGUAUGUUAAUUUCUACUGGUAACCUGUGCUAAAAUCGAAACAAUAACAAACAGCGUUUCACGAUUUCGUAUAAAAAUCAAAUAUUUAAGGGAAUUUUUUUGUGCGCCAACAGCCCUUUGCAUUCCUUCAUUUAAAAACGGCUGGUUUAACGAGAAAACCAAUCGCUGAAUCGAAAUCAGCGUUUA